rnacentral:lncRNA from 1 species
AAAAUAAAAAUUGGUCCCGAUUUUCUCUUUUUCUCUUUGUCCUCGUCGUCUCCGUCAUCUUCGUCGCACUAGCUUUCCGUCAUCGGAUUUCGCUGAAUUCAGUUCAGUUUUUCUUGGGUAUUCUUGCUCUUUUCAUUCUGUGUUUCGUCGUCCCUGCUGCAUUGCAUCAUCUUUUUAAGAAUCAAGGUAAUUGCAGAUUUAAUUUCAAUAGGGAUUCAAUUCCUAAAAAUUACCAUCUUCAAUUCAAUAGCAUAAACGUAUGUAGUAAACUUCUUGUCGUUGUCUAAGGGGAGUCUUUGUCUAAGAGAAGCCUACUUUCAUAAUGUAAAGGAUUUGUAGAGAUUAUAGGAGAUUGUGAUGAGGACAUGCAACCUGAACCGGAUUUAACCGAGCCUCAACUCCAAGAUAUCGAAGCUCCAAUAACAAGAGCAAGAGCUAGAGUACUUCAACACAAGUAUAAUCAAAGCCUACAAGCCGCAGCUAAAGAAAUACCAAGGGAAGAUCAGGAGCAACUAGAAGAUUGCCAAGAAGAGACGGCUAACAAGGGCCAUUGUUUACAAGCUUGGGCCGAGACAUUUCAAGAGUUCUCAUCAACCCACAACAGCCCAAAGAACCAGGACGCAUGGCCUCUUUUACCAAGUCAAGCCCAAGUUCAAGUGCUCAUCAUCUCAAGAAUGAAUCAAGACACUUAAAGAGGAACAUUCAAGCUUGGCCAAAGACAAGUUAAAGACACACUAAUCAUGGUCACAAAUAAGGUAAGUCUUUCAUUUCAUUUGACUAACGAAUUUCCUUGUCUUUGUUGUGUUGCAGCCGAGAGAAUAUAGUCCUUUAGCUUAGUACUUUGAAUUUUCCUUUAUAGUUUUCCUUGUUUAUUUUCCUUUGAUGUUGCACCUUUCCUUUUCAAGUCCUGUCGCAUUGAGUCUUUCUCUUUCUCUUGAGUCUAAGCCGCUUGGACAUUAUAUAAGUCCCUUUACGGCCGUGUAAUCUUUUCAACUUUGAUCAUCAAUAAAAUAA